rnacentral:lncRNA from 1 species
AAAAAAAAAAGCUGAAAAGUAGCACAGCCCCUUGCCAGUCAAUUCAUCCCAACUGAGGGCCUGCACCUUUUCUUUUCAGUGGAGUAUCGGUUAUGGACAGAUUGCGAGUUACAGCCGAAGGCAGUAUGACAGCUUUAUUGCUGCUGCGUGAGCAACAUUUUCUUUGAUUGGGAAACAGGCUGAGGACUUGCAGAAAGUCAAAUGGGGCCUGUGGGUGUUUGGAAAGGCCAGCUAUCAAACAGUUUCCUAUUAUCAUACACCCUGGGAAGAAGUUCUCAUUUCAUACCCCUGCUCCAGAGAGGUUCACCCUUCAGGACAAUAGGGUGGCCUCAGGAGAAGGACCUCAGUUGGACACAGUGAAAUGCUGCAUUUGCAAUAGCCAUGGAGCCCCUUGUUGGAACAGAUAUAAGAAUCAGUCAUGUCUUUGUCUUGGAGCUCGGCACCUCUUCUGGAGGAGUCCCCUGAUGUGAGAGGGAGAUGGCUGAAUGUGUGUUAAAAGGUCCAGGGGACAGAAACUUAGUGAUCCACAGCAUUCAUCUGAUGCUGUCCAAAGUUGUCGAGCAACCUCAGGAAAUGAGUGGAAAUUUGAUUCUUGUUUGGCUAUCUUGGGUCCUGAAAGUGGGAUGGUGGGUGCAAGAGGGUUGAUGUACACAUCUGUGCACUCUGUGGCAGUGCUUUGAAGCUCUGUGUUGUAGCCUGUGUUUUUUUUUUAUGAUGCAGUCAUGUGCAUUUUUAAGACCAAGAAUUGGACACCUGUGUGCUUAAAGUUAAGCAUGACCAUGACUCAUUCAGCUGUCACUCUUACGGAUGUAGUGUGAGAACCAUAUGGAUGGGAAGAAGUAACCUAGACCCAAGAUGCAAGUUCAGGGACUGCAAGACAGGAGGCCAAACACCGAAACAGCAUCUGACAAAAGUUUAUUUUUGAGAAGACCUUAUAUAAAGACACUGCCUUCAAGAAGAAACAUUGGAAUUUUAGGGCUAUUUGAAACAGUGUGUAAGCAUAUGUUGUAUGUCAUGACUAUGCUGCCUAACAUGCAGUUGGAUGAAAAGCACUUGAAGUAUCUUUGGACCGAACCCACAAUAAAGCUCUCCAAUACUUCAGUGGAUGUAGUGCAUGUGAAGCUAUUUCAGAAUGAAGCCCAUAAUCCUGGACCUCUUUUCAUGGGAGGCUGA